ACCGCGAUAGCUCAGCUGGUAGAGCAACUGCCGGGUAUGUGGAGGGUAGCCGGUUCGAUUCCGGUUUGCGGAG
rnacentral:tRNA from 1 species